CCGGGCCCAAUUUCCUUGGAACAGGAGGUCAUGGAGGGUGAGAACCCCGUCUGUGGCUCGGGUGCCGUCGUCCAUGUGCUGUGCCCUCGAAGAGUCGGGUUGUUUGGGAAUGCAGCUCAAAAUGGGUGGUAAAUUUCAUCUAAAGCUAAAUACUGGCGAGAGACCGAUAGGAAACAAGUAGAGUGAUCGAAAGAUGAAAAGUACUUUGAAAAGAGAGUGAAACAGUGCGUGAAAUUGUUGAAAGGGAAGCGUUUGGCAUCAGCCCGUGGCUGUCGUCGAUCAUCCGAGCUUCUGCUCGGUGCACUCGAUUGCGGCCGGGCCAGCGUCGGCUUCGCCCGUCGGAGAAAGGCCUUGGGGAUGUGUCCGCCCUCGGGCGGCGUUACAACCCGGGGUGUCAUGCGACGGGCGGGGCCGUGGUCCGCGGUCCAACCUAGGACGCUGGCUUAAUGGUUCCAAGCGACCCGUCUUGAAACACGGACCAAGGAGUCUAACAUCUAUGCGAGUGUUUGGGUGUCAAGCCCGUCCGCGCAAUGAAA
rnacentral:rRNA from 1 species